GAUGAACGCUGGCGGCGUGCUUAACACAUGCAAGUCGAACGGAAAGGCUCCUGCUUGCAGGGGUACUCGAGUGGCGAACGGGUGAGUAACACGUGGGUGAUCUGCCCUGCACUUCGGGAUAAGCCUGGGAAACUGGGUCUAAUACCGGAUAGGACGAUGUUUUGGAUGCCAUUGUGGAAAGUUUUUCGGUGUGGGAUGUGCUCGCGGCCUAUCAGCUUGUUGGUGGGGUAAUGGCCUACCAAGGCGUCGACGGGUAGCCGGCCUGGGAGGGUGUACGGCCACAUUGGGACUGAGAUACGGCCCAGACUCCUACGGGAGGCAGCAGUGGGGAAUAUUGCACAAUGGGCGCAAGCCUGAUGCAGCGACGCCGCGUGGGGGAUGACGGCCUUCGGGUUGUAAACUCCUUUCGCUAGGGACGAAGCGCAAGUGACGGUACCUGGAGAAGAAGCACUGGCUAACUACGUG
rnacentral:rRNA from 1 species